rnacentral:tRNA from 1 species
AAGAAAGUAGUUAAAUUAAUAUUAAUUUGUCAAAUUAAAGUUGUAAUUAUUCCUC